rnacentral:tRNA from 1 species
GGGCAUGUGGUGUAGUUGGUUAUCACGCUCGCUUAGCAUUUGCUUGCAUGCGAGAGGGGUCCGGUUCGAUCCCGGACAUGUCCA